rnacentral:rRNA from 1 species
GAUUAACGCUAGCGGCAGGCAUAAUACAUGCAAGUCGAACGGCCGCACAGGUAGCAAUCUUGGGUGGCGAGUGCCGCACGGGUGCGUAACACGUAUGCAACCCACCCUUUACAGGCGAAUAUCCCUUAGAAAUGAGGGCUCAUAUGCCGUAUUAUUUCUGAUAGCCCUCUAUUCGUUAUUAAAGAUCUAUCGUUAUAUCAUGGGUAUGCGUCUCAUUAGUUGGUUGGUAAGGUAAUGGCUUACCAAGUCGGUGAUGGGUAGGGGAUAUGAGAGGACGUACCCCCAGACUGGUACUGAGGCACAGACCAGACUGCUACGCGAGGGAGCGGAAAGGAAUAUUAGGCAAUGGCGGCGAGGCUGACCCAGCCAUGCCAGGGACAGGAAGACGGCCUUAGGGAUUGUAAACUGCUUUUAUACGAGAAUAGUAGAGUGAACGCGUACAUUUAUGAAAGUAUCGUAUGAAUAAGCAACGGCUAACUACGUG